GGCAAAACGAAAAGUCUAGAAUGACUGGGUGGUGGGACAUUUCACCAAGAUUAUGAGCACAGAGAGAAGUGGAGAGACCCAGAACCUGGAGACAGUUAUCAAUUUGUGAGUCACUUAUGCUAAUAUGAUAGUUGAAGCCUUAAAAAGUAAUCUUUCAGACAACAAAGAGUAAAAAAGUCAAGGAAGAGGGCAUAGAUCUAGCUCAUCUUGACUGCAAAGAAGUAGGACAAUAUCUAGAUGAGAGGCCAGGGUCAAGGAAGGCUCACUGUUAUUAGAGAGGGCAUGUUUAAAAAUACAGGUUAAAAAAGGGAAGUUGAAGGCUGGGCAUGGUGGCUUACAUCUGUAAUCUCAGUACUUUGGGAGGCCCAAGGCCGGAGGAUCACUUGAGGCCAGGAGUUCUAGACCAGUAAGACCAACAUAGUGAAACUGCAUCUCCACUAAAAAUACAAAAAAUAAGCUGGGCAUGGUGGCAGAUGCCCAUAAUCCCAACUACUCAGGAGGCUGAGGCAGGAGAAUCAAUUGAACCUGGGAGGUGGAGGUUUCAGUGAGCCAAGAUCAUGCCAUUGAACUGGAUCCGGAGCAAUGACUAGCUCACAGCGAGGACGGUCCCCUCCCUCGGCAGCUGUCACCGGAGCUCCAGAAGCCAAGAAAACUAUAUAAAAGCGGCCGCCAGAUGGAGCCCGACAACCGGCGACGACCAGGUCCCCAAACCUGUCACCGAGAGAGAUCCAGAUGGCAGGGCGGCCCGCGGAUGGCAAAACCGAAACCGUGAGUCGAGAAAGUCUUUCCGAGGCCGAAAACACAGCCCCUCCACCCCAACCCCACAGAAACCGUCCUCCAAACGUGUCUCUGCGUAGACCCAGACAGGCUCAAAAGACAAGCCCACGACGUGUGGGUGUUUGGACAUGCAUCUCGGAGGGAGAAAGAAAACACAGGACUCGGUCGCGAGUCGUUCAGGCCAUGAAGUUGAUAAUGUCAGUAGAAGAACCAACCUUGAAGAGAAGAAACAAGUCAUUCCCUGGGACUAAAGGAAAGAAAAUAAUCAUAUAUGUAAAUAAAGAGAUGCCCUGCCCAGAGAGAAUGAAUCUAGAGGGGCAAUCUGGCUACAACGGUUUUGCCACACUGUGGUGGGCUCUGCCCAGCCUAAACUUCCUGGAGUCUUUGUUUACACUGUGA
rnacentral:lncRNA from 1 species